GGCGAGUUCAAUGUCCUAAACAUGUUUCAUCGACCUCUUCCUCUUCGCUCUCCUCCUGCACUGUUGGCGUCUGUGUGUUUUCCUGGAUGU